rnacentral:rRNA from 1 species
GACGAACGCUGGCGGCGUGCCUAAUACAUGCAAGUUGAGCGCUGAAGGUUGGUACUUGUACCAACUGGAUGAGCAGCGAACGGGUGAGUAACGCGUGGGGAAUCUGCCUUUGAGCGGGGGACAACAUUUGGAAACGAAUGCUAAUACCGCAUAAAAACUUUAAACACAAGUUUUAAGUUUGAAAGAUACAAUUGCAUCACUCAAAGAUGAUCCCGCGUUGUAUUAGCUAGUUGGUGAGGUAAAGGCUCACCAAGGCGAUGAUACAUAGCCGACCUGAGAGGGUGAUCGGCCACAUUGGGACUGAGACACGGCCCAAACUCCUACGGGAGGCAGCAGUAGGGAAUCUUCGGCAAUAGACGAAAGUCUGACCGAGCAACGCCGCGUGAGUGAAGAAGGUUUUCGGAUCGUAAAACUCUGUUGGUAGAGAAGAACGUUGGUGAGAGUGGAAAGCUCAUCAAGUGACGGUAACUACCCAGAAAGGGACGGCUAACUACGUG